UACGUAGGUGGCAAGCGUUGUCCGGAUUUACUGGGCGUAAAGAGCGCGCAGGCGGUCGUUCAAGUCGCGUGUGAAAGCCCCCGGCUCAACUGGGGAGGGUCACGCGAUACUGAUCGACUCGAAGGCAGGAGAGGGUAGUGGAAUUCCCGGUGUAGUGGUGAAAUGCGUAGAUAUCGGGAGGAACACCAGUGGCGAAGGCGGCAUCCUGGCCCUGUCCUGACGCUCAGGGGCGAAAGCGUGGGGAGCAAACCGG
rnacentral:rRNA from 1 species